rnacentral:rRNA from 1 species
CCUACGGGAGGCAGCAGUGGGGGAUAUUGCACAAUGGGGGGAACCCUGAUGCAGCGACGCCGCGUGGGUGAAGAAGCGCCUCGGCGCGUAAAGCCCUGUCAGCAGGGAAGAAAAUGACGGUAUCUGAAGAAGAAGCCCCGGCUAACUACGUGCCAGCAGCCGCGGUAAUACGUAGGGGGCAAGCGUUAUCCGGAUUUACUGGGGGUAAAGGGGGCGCAGGCGGCGAUGCAAGCCAGGAGUGAAAGCCCGGGGCUCAACCCCGGGACUGCACUUGGAACUGCGUGGCUGGAGUGCUGGAGGGGCAGGCGGAAUUCCUGGUGUAGCGGUGAAAUGCGUAGAUAUCAGGAGGAACACCGGUGGCGAAGGCGGCCUGCUGGACUGCAACUGACGUUGAGGCCCGAAAGCGUGGGGAGCAAACAGGAUUAGAUACCCCAGUAGUC